rnacentral:rRNA from 1 species
GGAGUGGCAGACGGGUGAGUAACGCGUGGGAAUCUACCGUACCCUACGGAAUAGCUCUGGGAAACUGGAAGUAAUACCGUAUACGCCCUAACGGGGAAAGAUUUAUCGGGGUAUGAUGAGCCCGCGUUGGAUUAGCUAGUUGGUGGGGUAAAGGCCUACCAAGGCGACGAUCCAUAGCUGGUCUGAGAGGAUGAUCAGCCACAUUGGGACUGAGACACGGCCCAAACUCCUACGGGAGGCAGCAGUGGGGAAUAUUGGACAAUGGGGGCAACCCUGAUCCAGCCAUGCCGCGUGAGUGAUGAAGGUCUUAGGAUUGUAAAGCUCUUUCAACGGUGAAGAUAAUGACGGUAACCGUAGAAGAAGCCCCGGCUAACUUCGUGCCAGCAGCCGCGGUAAUACGAAGGGGGCUAGCGUUGUUCGGAAUUACUGGGCGUAAAGCGCACGUAGGCGGGUAUUUAAGUCAGGGGUGAAAUCCCGCAGCUCAACUGCGGAACUGCCUUUGAUACUGGGUAUCUUGAGUAUGGAAGAGGUAAGUGGAAUUGCGAGUGUAGAGGUGAAAUUCGUAGAUAUUCGCAGGAACACCAGUGGCGAAGGCGGCUUACUGGUCCAUUACUGACGCUGAGGUGCGAAAGCGUGGGGAGCAAACAGGAUUAUAUACCCUGGUAGUCCACGCCGUAAACGAUGAAUGUUAGCCGUCGGCAAGUUGACUUGUCGGUGGCGCAGCUAACGCAUUAAACAUUCCGCCUGGGGAGUACGGUCGCAAGAUUAAAACUCAUAGGAAUUGACGGGGGCUCGCACAACCGGUGGAGCAUGUGGUUUAAUUCAAAGCAACGCGCAGAACCUUACCAUCUCUUGACAUCUCAUGACCGGUAGAGAGAUUAACCUUUCCCUUCGGGUACAUGGAAACAGGUGCUGCAUGGCUGUCGUCCCCUCGUGUCAUGAGAUGUGGGGUGAAGUCCUUCACCGAGCGCAACUCU